rnacentral:rRNA from 1 species
CCUACGGGGGGCAGCAGUGGGGAAUUUUGCGCAAUGGGGGAAACCCUGACGCAGCAACGCCGCGUGAGUGAUGAAGGCCUUCGGGUCGUAAAGCUCUGUCAGAGGGAAAGAAAUGCGGGAGGGUUAAUACCCCUUUUGCUUGACGGUACCCUCAAAGGAAGCACCGGCUAACUCCGUGCCAGCAGCCGCGGUAAUACGGAGGGUGCGAGCGUUGUUCGGAAUUAUUGGGCGUAAAGCGCGUGUAGGCGGUCUUUUAAGUCUGAUGUGAAAGCCCCGGGCUCAACCUGGGAAGUGCAUUGGAAACUGGGAGACUUGAAUACGGGAGAGGGUAGUGGAAUUCCUAGUGUAGGAGUGAAAUCCGUAGAUAUUAGGAGGAACACCGGUGGCGAAGGCGGCUACCUGGACCGAUAUUGACGCUGAGACGCGAAAGCGUGGGGAGCAAACAGGAUUAGAUACCCUGGUAGUC